ensembl:misc_RNA Y_RNA Y RNA
GGCUGGUCCGAUGGCAGUGGGUUAUCAGAACUUAUUAACAUUAGUGUCACUAAAGUUGGUAUACCACCUCCCCGCCUCCCACUGCUAAAUUUGACUGGCUUUAA